ACUCUAAACUAAGUUAGUUUAGGCCCAAUUUCACCAAAGUUGCUUAAACCGCCGGUUUCGAAACUGUGGUUCCUGGCUGAACAGAAGUUUUGAAUGCUGACGGAUUUCACCAGCACGAACUGACCAAAGAUUCCCAAACCGUCGUUUUAGAGUAUCGUGAA